AGAAACACCAUAGUAUGAAGGGAGAGAGAGAGAUUUGCUCCAUACCCAGCAUAAAUUGUUACCCAGGCACGAUCCUCUAACAGCUGAACGGGUUCCCAGCGUCUAACGUUUGUGCAGCACCUUACGGUUUACAAAGAAUUUCUGGCCUUCCCUGUUUGGUACAGAAGUAAAGAAGAAUGUGAAAACCACCUAUAACUGCAUCAUCUAAAUAUGCUCAAAGUUAGCGUUUUGGUGUAGAACCCUUUGGAGAAUAACCUUUUAGGUAAUCCAGCCAGCUUGGAAGGGGUAAGAGUACUUAGGAAGUGAGGGUGGGCAGGAGGAGAACCUAAAGUGGAGGCCUCCUGUCAUUUCAUUUCACUUUCAGUUUUGAGAGCCACUUGGCCAAACAGAACACAACAUGGUUUGGCCUCCAACCAAAAGUUUAGCAUGAAAGAUUGAACUGUUUUGUUCUGUUUUGUUUAUUUAAAAAAAAUUUUUUUUUAACAUUUAUUUUAUUUUUGAGAGCGAGAGAGAGAGCAUGAGCCAGGGAGGGGCAGAGAGAGGGGAGACAACAGAAUC